CCCGCACAAGCGGUGGAGCAUGUGGUUUAAUUCGACGCAACGCGAAGAACCUUACCAGGGCUUGACAUCCCCUGACCGCGUAUGAAAGUACGUUUUCACCCUCGGGUGACAGGGAGACAGGUGGUGCAUGGUUGUCGUCAGCUCGUGUCGUGAGAUGUUGGGUUAAGUCCCGCAACGAGCGCAACCCUUACCUUUAGUUGCCAGCGGGUAAUGCCGGGCACUCUAGAGGGACUGCCGGGGAUGACCCGGAGGAAGGUGGGGAUGACGUCAAAUCAUCAUGCCCCUUAUGACCUGGGCUACACACGUGCUACAAUGGGCGGUACAAAGGGUCGCGAACCCGCGAGGGGGAGCCAAUCCCAAAAAGCCGCUCUCAGUUCGGAUUGCAGGCUGCAACUCGCCUGCAUGAAGCCGGAAUCGCUAGUAAUCGCGGAUCAGCAUGCCGCGGUGAAUACGUUCCCGGGCCUU
rnacentral:rRNA from 1 species